rnacentral:tRNA from 1 species
UGGGGUGUGGCUUAGUGGUAGAGCUCUUGCCUUGCAAGCAGGAGGCUCUGGGUUUGAUCCUCACACUACAA